rnacentral:rRNA from 1 species
ACGCUGGCGGCAUGCCUAACACAUGCAAGUCGAACGAGAAAGUUCCUUCGGGAGCGAGUACAGUGGCGGACGGGUGAGUAACGCAUGGGAAUCUGCCCAGUAGUGGGGAAUAACCCGGGGAAACUCGGGCUAAUACCGCAUACGUCCUACGGGAGAAAGCGGGGGAUCUUCGGACCUCGCGCUACUGGAUGAGCCCAUGUCAGAUUAGCUUGUUGGUGGGGUAAUGGCCUACCAAGGCAACGAUCUGUAGCUGGUCUGAGAGGACGAUCAGCCACACUGGGACUGAGACACGGCCCAGACUCCUACGGGAGGCAGCAGUGGGGAAUAUUGGACAAUGGGCGAAAGCCUGAUCCAGCAAUGCCGCGUGUGUGAAGAAGGCCUGCGGGUUGUAAAGCACUUUCAUCAGGGACGAAAAACCCGGGGCGAAUACCCCCGGGCCUUGACUUAACCUGAACAAGAAGCACCGGCUAACUCCGUGCCAGCAGCCGCGGUAAUACGGAGGGUGCGAGCGUUAAUCGGAAUUACUGGGCGUAAAGCGCACGUAGGAGGCGAGAUCAGUCAGAUGUGAAAUCCCC